rnacentral:rRNA from 1 species
GAUGAACGCUGGCGGCGUGCCUAACACAUGCAAGUCGAACGAACAGACCAUGAGCUUGUGCCUUUAACGUUAGCGGCUGGCGGGUGAGUCACGCGUGGAUCCCCUACUUAUCUUUCUGGGAUAAUUACGUAAAACCGGAUCUAAUACUACAGAAUAUCUUGUACCGGAUAGUUCAAUGGUUAAUGGCGCCUUUUGUGUCUCUUCUAGCUGGUUCCGCGCCGCCUUAGUUAGUUGGUAAGGUAACGGCCUACCAAGGCUACGAUGCGUAGCCGACCUGAGAGGGUGAUCGGCCACACUGGAACUGAGACACGGUCCAGACUCCUGCGGGAGGCAGCAGUGGGGAAUCUUCGGCAAUGGGCGAAAGCCUGACGCAGCAAGACCGCGUGAGUGAAGAAGGCCUUCGGAUCGUAAAGCCCUGUUAUUGGGUAAGAACAGCUGUGGAAGUAACCAAGGCGGUUCUGACGGUACCUAAUCAAAAAGCAACGGCUAACUACGUG